AAUUUAAUUAUUUAUUGGAGAGACAAGAAUUUUUUUUUAUAUAUAUUUGAAUGUUGAAUUCUGAAGUUUUAGAUAAUCUAUGAAUUCUGAAGUAAAUAAUUUUGUCUCACCUCUGUGUUGAUACGUUAUAAACGCACCAUUGAUAAGCUUCCAACACAAACCAACAUCAAACUACAUCGAUGUAUCACUUCUUCACACACAAUACUCUCGAUUAGAGAAGAUCAAUAUUGAAAAAAUCAAAAGAGAAUAUAGAGACUAGAAUCUUCAGCACCAUCUUUAGAUUCUACUUUUCCCAAGUAGUUUCGUAAAAGAUAUAAUCAAAUAUUGUAUAGUUUAGUGUAUUUA
rnacentral:sRNA from 1 species